rnacentral:rRNA from 1 species
UACGUAGGGACCGAGCGUUGUCCGGAUUCAUUGGGCGUAAAGGGUGCGUAGGCGGCGCGGUAAGUCGGGUGUGAAAUCUCGGAGCUUAACUCCGAAACUGCAUUCGAUACUGCCGUGCUUGAGGACUGGAGAGGAGACUGGAAUUUACGGUGUAAGCUGGUGAAAUGCGUAGAUAUCGGUAAGGAAGACCAGGUGGCGAAGGCGGGUCUCUGGACAGUUCCUGACGCUGAGGCACGAAGGUCAGGGGAGCAAACGGG